GUGAUUUCACUGUCCAUAUGACUCAGAUCUCAGAUGAGACUGUGGUGGACUUUUGAUUUCCAUUUAAAUAGAUAUUUGCAGAAAGAAAACUAAAGAGAGAAAACAUAAGAAGCAUCAAGUCUAUAGCUACAAUUGACAUCUGAAGGCACAAGACUCUAACCUGGCACCGUGUCCUAGAACGUGGCAUUGGGUCCAUCAUGUCCCCUCACCCUGAGUCAGGGCUGUGGCUGGCCUGGAGUUCCAUUUCUAUUCCAGAAAGUGGCAGUAUUUUAGGAACGUGCAAAAUUAUAUCAUAGGUCCCAGAGUUGAGGUAUAAAUUCAAAGAACUGGGGAUUACUCUGAAUAUGUAGAAUAUGCCUCAAAACUGUGCAAUAUUAAAAGCGCAUUUUCUUCUUUGAAAAAUGCA
rnacentral:lncRNA from 1 species